CUAAGCGUACACGGUGGAUGCCCUGGCAGUCAGAGGCGAUGAAGGACGUGCUAAUCUGCGAUAAGCGCCGGUAAGGUGAUAUGAACCGUUAUAACCGGCGAUUUCCGAAUGGGGAAACCCAGUGUGAUUCGUCACACUAUCAUUAACUGAAUCCAUAGGUUAAUGAGGCGAACCGGGGGAACUGAAACAUCUAAGUACCCCGAGGAAAAGAAAUCAACCGAGAUUCCCCCAGUAGCGGCGAGCGAACGGGGAGGAGCCCAGAGCCUGAAUCAGCAUGUGUGUUAGUGGAAGCGUCUGGAAAGGCGCGCGAUACAGGGUGACAGCCCCGUACACAAAAGCGCAUGUGCUGUGAGCUCGAUGAGUAGGGCGGGACACGUGGUAUCCUGUCUGAAUAUGGGGGGACCAUCCUCCAAGGCUAAAUACUCCUGACUGACCGAUAGUGAACCAGUACCGUGAGGGAAAGGCGAAAAGAACCCCGGCGAGGGGAGUGAAAAAGAACCUGAAACCGUGUACGUACAAGCAGUGGGAGCACAGGUUUACCUGUGUGACUGCGUACCUUUUGUAUAAUGGGUCAGCGACUUAUAUUCUGUAGCAAGGUUAACCGUAUAGGGGAGCCGUAGGGAAACCGAGUCUUAACCGGGCGUUAAGUUGCAGGGUAUAGACCCGAAACCCGGUGAUCUAGCCAUGGGCAGGUUGAAGGUUGGGUAACACUAACUGGAGGACCGAACCGACUAAUGUUGAAAAAUUAGCGGAUGACCUGUGGCUGGGGGUGAAAGGCCAAUCAAACCGGGAGAUAGCUGGUUCUCCCCGAAAGCUAUUUAGGUAGCGCCUCGUGAAUUCAUCUCCGGGGGUAGAGCACUGUUUCGGCUAGGGGGCCAUCCCGGCUUACCAACCCGAUGCAAACUGCGAAUACCGGAGAAUGUUAUCACGGGAGACACACGGCGGGUGCUAACGUCCGUCGUGAAGAGGGAAACAACCCAGACCGCCAGCUAAGGUCCCAAAGUCAUGGUUAAGUGGGAAACGAUGUGGGAAGGCCCAGACAGCCAGGAUGUUGGCUUAGAAGCAGCCAUCAUUUAAAGAAAGCGUAAUAGCUCACUGGUCGAGUCGGCCUGCGCGGAAGAUGUAACGGGGCUAAACCAUGCACCGAAGCUGCGGCAGCGAACGUAUCACCCAAGACAACUUUACGGAGUUGACGAUUGACGGAGCGAAGCGACGUCAAAGCGUUCAUUAAAGUCGAGUUGGCUUAGGGAUACGUUCGUUGGGUAGGGGAGCGUUCUGUAAGCCUGUGAAGGUGUGUCGUGAGGCAUGCUGGAGGUAUCAGAAGUGCGAAUGCUGACAUAAGUAACGAUAAAGCGGGUGAAAAGCCCGCUCGCCGGAAGACCAAGGGUUCCUGUCCAACGUUAAUCGGGGCAGGGUGAGUCGACCCCUAAGGCGAGGCCGAAAGGCGUAGUCGAUGGGAAACGGGUUAAUAUUCCCGUACUUGGUGUUACUGCGAAGGGGGGACGGAGAAGGCUAUGUUGGCCGGGCGACGGUUGUCCCGGUUUAAGCGUGUAGGUGUGUGUUCCAGGUAAAUCCGGUUCACUUUAACACUGAGGCGUGACGACGAGGCACUACGGUGCUGAAGCAACAAAUGCCCUGCUUCCAGGAAAAGCCUCUAAGCAUCAGGUAACAUCAAAUCGUACCCCAAACCGACACAGGUGGUCAGGUAGAGAAUACCAAGGCGCUUGAGAGAACUCGGGUGAAGGAACUAGGCAAAAUGGUGCCGUAACUUCGGGAGAAGGCACGCUGACACGUAGGUGAAGUGAUUUACUCAUGGAGCUGAAGUCAGUCGAAGAUACCAGCUGGCUGCAACUGUUUAUUAAAAACACAGCACUGUGCAAACACGAAAGUGGACGUAUACGGUGUGACGCCUGCCCGGUGCCGGAAGGUUAAUUGAUGGGGUCAGCGCAAGCGAAGCUCCUGAUCGAAGCCCCGGUAAACGGCGGCCGUAACUAUAACGGUCCUAAGGUAGCGAAAUUCCUUGUCGGGUAAGUUCCGACCUGCACGAAUGGCGUAAUGAUGGCCAGGCUGUCUCCACCCGAGACUCAGUGAAAUUGAACUCGCUGUGAAGAUGCAGUGUACCCGCGGCAAGACGGAAAGACCCCGUGAACCUUUACUAUAGCUUGACACUGAACAUUGAGCCUUGAUGUGUAGGAUAGGUGGGAGGCUUUGAAGUGUGGACGCCAGUCUGCAUGGAGCCGACCUUGAAAUACCACCCUUUAAUGUUUGAUGUUCUAACGUGGACCCGUAAUCCGGGUUGCGGACAGUGUCUGGUGGGUAGUUUGACUGGGGCGGUCUCCUCCUAAAGAGUAACGGAGGAGCACGAAGGUUGGCUAAUCCUGGUCGGACAUCAGGAGGUUAGUGCAAUGGCAUAAGCCAGCUUGACUGCGAGCGUGACGGCGCGAGCAGGUGCGAAAGCAGGUCAUAGUGAUCCGGUGGUUCUGAAUGGAAGGGCCAUCGCUCAACGGAUAAAAGGUACUCCGGGGAUAACAGGCUGAUACCGCCCAAGAGUUCAUAUCGACGGCGGUGUUUGGCACCUCGAUGUCGGCUCAUCACAUCCUGGGGCUGAAGUAGGUCCCAAGGGUAUGGCUGUUCGCCAUUUAAAGUGGUACGCGAGCUGGGUUUAGAACGUCGUGAGACAGUUCGGUCCCUAUCUGCCGUGGGCGCUGGAGAACUGAGGGGGGCUGCUCCUAGUACGAGAGGACCGGAGUGGACGCAUCACUGGUGUUCGGGUUGUCAUGCCAAUGGCACUGCCCGGUAGCUAAAUGCGGAAGAGAUAAGUGCUGAAAGCAUCUAAGCACGAAACUUGCCCCGA
rnacentral:rRNA from 1 species